GGAGAGGUGGCUCAGAGGUUAAGAGCACUGACUUCUCAUCCGGAGGCCCUGAGUUCAAUUCCCAGCAACCACA
rnacentral:tRNA from 1 species